CAGCCGUCUGGAGCGCGUGACGUCAUUUGAAGAUGGACACAAAGCUGAAGUAACUCAGUGGGACCGGCAGCAUCUCUGGAGAGAAGCAAUGGGUGAUGUUUCGUGUCGAGGCUCUUCUUCAGUCUGAAAAGAAGGGCCUUGACCCGAAACAUCACCCAUUCCUUCUCUCCAGAGAUGCUGCCAGUCCCGCCCGCUGAGUUACUCCUGCAUUUUGUGUCUAUCUUCAAUUUUCUUGGCCCCGCUCUGGGACUAGAAGUGGGGGCGGAACCGGACCGCAACGGCCGUGAGCCCCAGGCCAAGCUCGGCGAUCGUUUGCCUGCUUCUGCUGCUGUUGGAGCUUUCUUCAAUUUGUGAAAACGUAUCUACAAAAUUUGAGACCAUUCCAACUCAAUUGCGAGUUUAUAGAGCUCUGGUGCUGACUGCUCUCUUUCACCACAACAAAACAUGGACCAGUUACUGAUGUUACAUUGAGACCCUCAGGGAUUCCACCAACUGUAAUUGAAUCAAAUCUUGGGGAUCCAAUAGGAGGGCCAACAUACACUUCCUCCAUGAAAUUGCAUGCACCAGAAUCAAAACUUUACUCAUGAGAAACAAGUUCUGAUGAAAAAGCUGCUGCAUCCCAAUGCCCGAGAACCAUCUUCCUUGCCAGAUUCCCUUCUCCCAGUUUUCUGUUAAUCAAGAAACAGAACAAAGACGCACUAAAGAUUGCCCUCAAGCACGGAGGCAUUGGCAACCAUGAUUGGGAAUAGUAUACUACAAACAUCCAGUGUGGCAUCACCUGGAAUAUCAAACACUCACCAUUUCAAGAUGCUGAAGAUAGUGGAGAAAGGAUAACUGACCAACCCAGUGCUGCAAAUCUCGUUCCCCCAAGCAACAAAAUACUCUUCACUGCUGAAGGACAUGUGUAUCCAGAAUUGGGUUUCUCAGUACUCUGAAAACCCAUCAUGCUAUCAUCUUGGUCACAAGUGGUCACUGCUGAGUUCAGUGCAUGUCCUCUCUCGGUGUAACAGGCUCGAGAUGAUCACGAAAUGGCUUUGUUUGCCAGGGUGGUUCACCACCAAGCUCACAGGCUAUCACGUAUUAAUUUUGUUGUGACCUUCUUAAACUUCAAAAUCACUAAAGGCCUCAAUUAAAAAAUGUUUAUUUUUUGAAGAGGCUAUAAAGCAAUUACACAAAA